rnacentral:rRNA from 1 species
UAACAUCUACGGCCAUAGGACUCAGAAAAUA